GUGCGUUGUCGCGGGUGGCCUUGCGCAGUUCCGGGACCGUGCCGGGCUCCAGGUUGACGCCGAUCGGCCGGCCGAUCUUCUCGGCCAGCGCGCGC
rnacentral:tRNA from 1 species